CAAGAAUCUCUCGUUAGUUUAAGUCUGAGGUUGGAUACACGCAGAGAGGUAGAGGGAUUUCCAUGGGUGGUUGCCUCCUCUAUGCCGUGUUUCUUAGCCAAUGAUCAUUCAAAGCUUCCACUAUCAAACAACCCAUCAUUUUCGUUAAUUACACACUAAACCUCAAUGUUUCCCAGUUCUUUUGGCUAUGAAGAUUAAAAAUUUCAAGAUUUUGAUGUGAACCGAUGAUCUUGGCAAGGCAUCUCAGUGAUUCUGCGGGAAUGUUUCUUCUUGAAAUCCCAUUCUUAAGGAUACUGAUUUUAGCAGCCAUCAACGGAUUCUUCACAUCUUAGUCUUUGAAAGGAUGGAAGCUCUGAGCCUAUAAAUUUUUGGUUUCAAAGAUUUCGUGCUGGGGUUUCUUUUGUAAUGCAGGCAGUAUAGCGCAGACUUUAUAGCUUCAGUUCUUGCCUGUUAUGCCUAAUUUCAAGAAUAAUGCCUUUUGCCAAAAGGUUGGACGGUGUAGAAUAUCUCGGUUGAACUCGCCUUACAGCCUUACAGGUCUUUCUAAUGAAGGUUAGCUAUCUUAUUUGGUUUACUUAUUCAGGUUUACUCAGUUUAAACCCUUGUUAGUUUUUCUCCAGUCACUAAAAAGAAGAUUUUUUCUUAGUACUAUUGACUCUGUUACAAUGCAUGUCUGUUCAUAACUACUUUUUCAACUCACUGAAACACAAAAAGUCUGCUCGAACCCACCCCUUCCAUGGGAGUGCAACAGGGUGAGUUGAACCCACCCCCUUCCAUGGGAGUGCAACGGGUGGCACUAGAACACAAGGUCUUUCCAAAGAAGAAAUAGCUGUCUUGGUCUCUUGUACUACUCUUGAGGCUGUGAUGAUUCUUUUCAUUGUUAAUUGAAAUUCAGAGUUUUGAGCCUACACCGUAUUUUGGCAUGGCAGCUGUUUUCUUGCAGCCAUAGCGGUCUUGGUCUCUUGUACUGAUUGAUAAAAGGCGAAUCUGAGCCUAUUUUUCCAUCAGUUAAUCACCGUGCCCCUACAAUUCACUCCCUCUGUCCCAUUUUAUUACGAUCCUUCAAUGAUUCUUUUCAUUAAUAAUUGAAACUCAGUUUUGAAACUACUCCAUAUCUUGGCGUGGCAGCUGUUUUUCUUUCAGCCAUGGCGGUCUUGGUCUCUUGCACUGAUUGAUAAAAGGCGAAUCUGAGCCUCAUUUAUUUGGUUAGGUUUAAUUUUCAGGUUCACAUAUCUUGCUUUAGAGACAUUGGGGUUUUGAGCCUACGUGUACCAUGGCAUGGUAGCUGUUUUUGUUGCAGCCAUGGCAGGCUUGACAUCUAAUUCUCCUUCAUUUAAGGAACCUUAUUCUAGCUGGUAUUUGUUGGGCGUAAGCUGGUAAAGGGCCAAAUCCAUCAAUUGGUGGCUAGGGGCUACGUCCAGCACCCUGCCUCUUGAAAAUGUGAUGGUGGUCUAUAAGGAAAUAAAGUUGUGCCUUCGUUACUAGCUAUAGCUUUUGGCGUAGUGGUAAGCGCAUGAUCCUAAUAGUAUGUCAGUAUCACUCCAAUGUCACCUUUUUCCCAAAUGGAGCCUUAUUAUGGUUGGUAUGAGAGAUUUGUGUGAAGCUCUUAAACAAGUCUUAACACCUUGUUAUAUUGAUCGAGAACAAGUAAAUAUGAGCCUCAUUUUUAAUUGAUACAAUGCAAAUUAAAACCUUUAAAUUUUGGUUGUGAAAAUGACACUUUGGCUUCCUCUCUCCAUUGCCUAUUUUACAAUGUACUGUUACUACAAUUCAGUGGUUUCACUUGCUCUGUCCCACUUUAUUUAUGAUUGCAUUUAUUUCUUGCACUAGUCUUGAGGCUGUGAUGAUUCUUUUCAUUAUUAAUUGAAAUUCAGAGUUUUGAGACUACACCGUAUCUUGGCGUGGCAGCUGUUUUUCUUGCAGCCAUGGCGGUCUUGGUCUCUUGUACUGAUUGAUAAAAGGCGAAUCUGAGCCUAUUUUUCCAUUAGUAAAUCACCGUGUCCCUACAAUUCACUCCCUCUGUCCCAUUUUAUUUAUGAUCCUGCAAUGGUUCUUUUCAUUAUUAAUUGAAACUCAGUUUUGAGACUACUCCGUAUCUUGGUGUGGCAGCUGUUUUUCUUGCAGCCAUGGCGGUCUUGGUCUCUUGUACCGAUUGAUAAAAGCUGAAUCUGAGCCUCAUUUAUUUGGUUAGGCUUAAUUUUCAGGUGCACAUAUCUUGCUUAAGAGACAUUGGGGGUUUAAGGGUGGUUGUCCCCUCUUUGCUACCCAUGUUCUGGGAAAAAAAGGAAAGUAAAACAGCCCUUCUUAUAUAAUGUCAAUUGGUAUACUACGUACUUGGGCUUUUAUUAUGUUUGGUAAUGAUUAUUAAUUAGAGUAUUUGGACCAAUAUAUUUUAACUUGUUCAUGAUCACAUGCUUUGCUAAAUGGACCAUAUGCAUACAUGUAAUGUUGUUCUUCUAGUUGUUUGGAUAAUGGAAUUGGGGUUUAUCAUGCAAUUGCCCGCGACUUGUUUGAUAAGGAUAUUGCACAUGGAAGAUCAUAAUAAUGAUUCAAGGGGAAUUUUGGACUUUGCAUGAUGGCUUGUGCAAAUGGCCAAAUGGGUCUUUCUAAAAUUAUCCCAUCUUCACAAGGCAACAGGCCAACAGCUAGCUGCUUGUCUAUGGAGGUGGAAGGGUGCAAAUUUGAGCCUAUAAAUUAGAUUAGGUUGCAAAGUGGGAGGUUUAGGGCCGGGUUACUAACAGAAAACUGUUUUCUGUUUUCUGUUUUUCAAAUUUUCAGUUUUCAUUUCUCUGUUUUUCAUUCUUUGUUUUCGUUUAGAAAACUUGUUUACUGACA